UGGUGCGCCCGGAGGGAUUCGAACCCCCGACCAAUGGCUUCGGAAGCCACUACUCUAUCCGGCUGAGCUACGAGCGC
rnacentral:tRNA from 1 species